rnacentral:sRNA from 1 species
GCUGGGUGCAGUGGUGCACACCUGUAAUCCCAGCAGCUCAGGAGGUUGAGGCAGGAGGAUUGUGAGUUCAAAGCCAGCCUCAGCAACAUGGAGUGCUAAGCAACUCAUUGAGACCCUGUCUCUA